ensembl:lncRNA
CCUGCUGGUGUAAACAUACCUCUGAUUGGGACUCACUGAUGUAAUGGACAAACAAGCACAAAAUGUGUCGAUAUCCAGAUCAAAUCUCCCAGACACUUAACUGUGUGUUCUACUUACCCGUUCGGGUCUCUCCAGCCUGAGACGGAAGCUCUAGUGGUGUUGGUUGUGUUCUGGAAGACCUGAGGGACACAACGGCUACCAUGCACAUCUGCAUCCUGUAUGUGGCUGAGGGGGGUUCCCAGCUGAACUUGGCUGAGGUCAGUGUCUGGUCAAAUGGAGUCGGGCCUGUGUGUCUGUGGGGGUGCAGAUGAAGUGGUCAGCGGUGUGACAGUUAGCGGGGAUUCUGACAGCCCCAGGUCCAGUGUGGAUUAGAGAGCCUCACGGAUUUAUGAAGAAUCCAGAAAUGUGUGUCAUCAUUAUGGAAAAAGGUGUCGAUGUGUGCGAUGCCAGGAAAGGUCAGGAGAUGAUUUACUGAACAUUUAUGGAGGCUUUAUCUUCAGUCCUUGUCACCAAGUCGGGCGAUGCUUCAUAGUGGGUCGCCAAACAUACGUGGAAAAAGAGAGAGCGGGACAACGCCACAACCCCUGAGUUCCGCAAUGACACAGUCUUUAACCAGUCCAACUCUUGGCAGGUACAGAAUACUAAAGGACCAUUUUAUUUCUAAAUGAGUCUGGAUGGCGCACCACAAAUACUGGAAAUGCUACUGCCCUUUCAUUUUAAAUGGCUAUCGGGUUCAUCCUACACAUAAAACCCAUCACAGAAAAUGAAUAUAAGCGGUAGGAGAAGAGACUGGAGAUGUGAACUGUCCCUCUGGAACGGGCUGCCAUUAAGUUUACUAAAAAUGUCUGAUGGUUUCACCCAGACAGUUAGGAGAGCUGUGUCUAAACGGGAUCCAGAUCUCUGCUUACUAAUUCCUGUGAUCCACCUGCUCUGAAGCCCAGUCGUUGUGGCCGAGUGUUCUGCACUACAGAUGGCGCUGGAUGAGGGAAGCUGGGUCAUGCUGAAGGACUGACCACAGUGCUUCAUCAUACCGAGGGAAAGUGACCCCAAAGGUCACAGCACACACACAGGCUUAAUUUUAGAGCAAUUAAUCUCCUCUCAAGAGAGUUUUAUGUGUGAGCAUGUGUGUGGGUGUGUCGCUGUGCUGUAGUUAGAGCCGGCCGUCAGCUGUCCGGCCAAGGUGGAGGCCCAACCAUCUUAUCGUCCAGGAGAAGCUUAAUAUGAGGAGAUUAGAUGGCACGGAGGAGAUUACUGCUUGGCCUUUAAUGCAUCGUUCUCUUACCUAACAGGAACCUGAUCUAAAUCCACCACAGGGUAACAAGGCCAUCACUCUGUCCAACAUACACAAGAGGACAUGUAACGUACACACACAUAGAUACACAACAGAUGAUGAGUGGGUGGCAAAAAAACAAACAAAAAAAAGCUCAGAUGAAACAGCAAUGGAAAUGAAAGAGGUGGAGCUUUCAGUGAGAGAGAGUGAAAGAGUGAGGUGGGAUGGAAGAGGUGUUCCCCAUAUAAAAGCCUCUUCACUGGUUUGGAAAAUUAGCUGGGCCCUGUGGUCUACUGGAGCCUUUUAUUUAUUGAUGUAAAGAAAGAUAACCACGCCACCUUCCGUAUUCGCUCCAUUUGCAUGAGCGAGGGAAGAUUAGGAGUGAAAAUCAAACCAAAUAAAUAAAUCCCUCUUUUUCCCUCUCUUCACCUCCCCUUCCCUUCCCAGAUACACACUCAUCCCUCUGCCAUAAUAAACGUUUUGCAAAAAGUCGCAACAAAGUUUAUUUUUCAGACAAUCACUGCCAGACUAUUCAGUGGAUGUAUGCUAUAUUAAUCUCAAAGCUCAAAGAACUUUGUUUAUUGGCUGCAAAGGUUGGAAAGUAAAAGCUGCCCAACGUAACCAUCAAAUUAAACUGGUAUAAACAACCGUGCUGUAAAUGCACGCUUGUAUAUGUGAGUGGUGUACAGUAUUUAAGAAUAGCAGUGUUUUAGCAGCUUAACAUCUUCUGCAGAAUUUUGAAAGUCACGUAUCCAUUCACGAGUCUCACACUGAUGUCUAAAUGGGGUCCAGUCUCAGAGAAGUGUAAAGCAGAAGGGAAUCUAAUCAGUUUUGCUUGCUCUGAAUGCCGGUUUGAAUGUGUUUGAGUAACAGUGCUAAAUCCACCUUCUAAUGUCUCUUCAUCACAUUGGUUUCUCACUUUCUCCUGAGCAGGAAACCAAUAAAUAUUUUAGCACUAACUGAAUUAAGAAUGCCCUUUAAAUUCCAAUUUAAUUCUGGAUUUGAAUUAAGGUAGCAAACAAGAUGCAAAAUUGCAAUUUCAAUUUGAAUAGAAGGCAGUAUAGAAUUAAAUGAAUUUAAGUUCAAAGAAAUUCUUGUUGCUAGUGUUAUUUAACAUUAUUUAUAUACAUAAUAUAAAUUGAGUUUAAUUUUAAUAUGUUGGUACUUAUUUCAUUUGACAGGGCAACAUUUGUAAUUUUUGUUAAAGAUUUGUUUUUUCAUAUAAUAUUUAUACUUUAUUGCAUUUCAACUAAACUUCAAAUAGGAAAAAAACUAUUCUAAUAUUGUAUUGGUGUAAUUUUUUACUAGAAAAUAAAAGUUUGCAAAGACACUUUAAAUAUUGGGUUGACAAAGCUGUUGUAAAGUUUAAAAAAUUCUAAAAAGCAUUGGAAUUUGAAGGCCUAAUAUAUAGAAUAGAUGGAAGGACAGAGAGCAUUUCCAAGAAUUUUGAUUGAUUGAUUGAUUGAUUGAUUGAUUGAUUGAUUGAUUGAUUGAUUGAUUGAUUGAUUGAUCAUUAAAUUCCUAUCAUUCCAUUUCAAAUUCCAUGUCAACUUUCUAUGGGGUUUGGCUAAUUUGAUUCAAAUUUAAUCUCAUGAAUUCUUUAAUUUUGUACAACCCUUACAUGGACAUCCAGAGAAGAGGGGCUUUAAAAAUUAGGCCACUAAUGCUUUCAUCCACCCUUAUGUGUGGAUGAAAAGAGGCUCUGAGUGUGUAUGUGUGUGCCGGGAUGCAAGAGUACACUGCUCCUCCUCCAGGAUUCCUCUUCGGGGCAGAAAAUGGGCAUGUGCUUGUGGUCCAGUGAAGCCCAGCCUGAGCUCAGCUCUUGCACCUCUGCCCCGCUCUGCCUCCAGAUGUGGCCUCAGCGGCUUUUUCUCGUGUGGAUUGAAUUCAGCAUUAUGUCUUUGCACAGUGUCCUCUUCUAUUUUCUCCUCUCCGUUCUUCUUUGCUGUCCUCUCCUCAUUGUUCUUUCAGCUCAUCCGGCUAAUGAACCAGUACAAGUACAAAGUACAUUUUAUAAGAGAGAUAGCCAAAUAUUCACAGGGGACAUAAAACCCCACAUAACAACAGCACAGAUGGAGCAGAAGCACAUGACACACAGCCCCCGUUCAGAAAAAAACAAAAAAAAUAUGAUGAUUGUCUAUAUCAAACAGCCUCUUUUUCUACCUACUAUUACUGUCUCUUUUUGUCUUCUCUUGUCCACCUGUGUCCCAGCAGCAAUUAAGGACCCUGGUGGAUCCAAUCAAGGAAUCACACGAAUGGCUGAAUAUGGUGGACUUGUGAAAGAUCAGGGCAUUCAGGCUGGUGACAUUCCUCCUGGCGAGCAGAUCCAUCCUGGGCCGGGGGUGAAAAAUGCAGCACCGCGCUACUGCUCAGCUGCAGAUGAAUGGAGCUAUCUGUCUUGUCACGAGGGGUCGGCUGGAGAGGUUACAGCCCAACUGUACCUGGUCUCUGAUGCUGAUGCCUGCACGCCGCUUCCCUUUACAAGAGAAGAAACAUAAAAACAGAAGAGAGGGAGAGACAGAGAGAGGGAGAAACAAAUCCUGCCCCAUCAAGCACUUCUUCAGUCCCUCCAGAGCCCAUCUCACUUCCCAUCAUCCCGAAGUCCUGCUGCCCUGAGCGCAGGCUUUGACACAUCUAUAUGUUUUUCCUUCUGACCUUUCAACGUCCUUUCUGUCAGUGCCUGUAAACCAUAAGCUGAUGUAUGAGGGCAAUUUUUAGCGGUGCCACUUGUAUCUGAGUGAUUGCGCACACUUUACAUUUGGGGGGUCUGCCACCCUGCCACCUCCUCAACAUCUCUUUAUUUGCUUUGCUUGAUAUUGAGGCAGAGAAACUGAGGGGAAGGAAUAAAAAGAGUGGAUGGGGAGGGGACGGUGGAGCCCAUUCAACCUCUGGGCAACAGGUCUGUACUUUAUCAGUCCAGCGAGCUGAGCCCUCAGGCCAGGCCUGACCAAUCACUCCUUGGAAACAGGUACUUGAACAAACAUCAACAUCAGUGAGACAGACUCCUGUACAAAGGGUUUCAGUGGAAUACUGACUUUCACUGGAAUUCUGAUCUCACAUAUUAAUGUCUAAUCCAAAUACCUGUCAUUUCAAACAGGGGGCCUAUUUUAAAAUAUUAUUUAAAACUAUACAAGUAUCCCAAUGAUACUAAAAUGACACUGAUACAAUGGCAAUAAAAAAGUGAGGAAACAACAUGACUUUAACUGAAUAAAAAAUUAUAUUUUUUUCUCAUACAUUAUAAAUGUAAUUAUAUAUGUAUUUUGAAGGGAGUCCCUCACAAGGGCAUCAUCAUAUUUGUGGGUCUUUGGUAUUAAAAACUUUAAAAACCUGCUCAAAUCUGAUUGAAUGAGUGUUGUAAGACUGUACAAUAUUUUGUCACACUUUACUUUAGUUCUCUUGUUUUAACAUUGAUCUGUAACACAGUAGCUUAAUCUGUCAUGUCUGUUAAUAAAUUUUGCCAUUGCUCUCAGAAAUGUUCAAAUUCUUAUGUGUCUACAAUCUCCAAGCAGUGUCUACCAUAAUCCAAAGAAUUAACGGUGCUGUUCAUGUCCUGUGGUAGAUGCUGCAGAAAACUUGUGUGCACAAGCAUCACAGUGUCCCAUUAUCCUCGGUGUUCGCCACUGACAACAUUUUCUGGUGACAUAUGUUUACUGUCACAUCCUGAACACUUGGGUCAGCUGCCUCUCUACUCUUCUCAUCACAAACUCUGACAGCCUAACAAAGCAGUCAUUAGACAGCCUCUCAGACACGACUAGCACACCCCCUUUGCUUUAGGGAAAACUAGCAUAAUGAAAUAAAAUGCAGAGAGGACUUAGCAUCCGCCCAAAACAAACACGCACGAAACAAAACCUCCCUCAUCUCUUUCAGAUUUUCUUUUUUCUUUCCCUCCUCUGGUUCUUGAUCUCCAUAUUUAGCAUUAUGACAUUUUAAUUUGUGCAUCUUCAAAAUAGCACUGUCAGUGGUAUAAAUAUGGAGUACCACUCCUGUGAGAAAAGCCUUUAUACUUUAGUAGGUUAAAACUAAUACAAACAAAACUGGAAUUAUUAAUUAUAAAAAAGGAGAGAGAGGGAAAGAGAGAGAACGAGAGAGACGAAAUCCCCAGAUUUCAAUAUUAUUUGCAUUUCGAUUUUGAGCCUGAUUUUGAGCAACUUGACUGUUUUCCCUCCUCUUGCUUUCUCUCUAAUAUCUUGCAGGAUCAAAGGCUUUCAUUAGGUUUAACUCCUCCAAGCAUUGUUUGCCUCCCAGGACUACAACACAGUUCCCUCAGUGUGCCAGAUUCAGAAGAAUAAAGAAUUAGUUAUUCCUGGACUAAUUUGACAUCAAACAGUGGAGAGGAAGAUAAAAGUGACAAUGGUGACCGGGGAACAUUGGCCAUGUGUUUCCACAGGCCCCCAGGGCAGUCAACCUCACACUCUCGCACCUAGAAAAUACCUUUUAGAUGAAGAUGAUGGCUAAUAAUAG